UCCUACGGGAGGCAGCAGUGGGGAAUUUUGGACAAUGGGCGAAAGCCUGAUCCAGCAAUGCCGCGUGUGGGAAGAAGGCCUUCGGGUUGUAAACCACUUUUGUACGGAACGAAACGGUCUGCUUUAAUACAGUGGGCUAAUGACGGUACCGUAAGAAUAAGCACCGGCUAACUACGUGCCAGCAGCCGCGGUAAUACGUAGGGUGCGAGCGUUAAUCGGAAUUACUGGGCGUAAAGCGUGCGCAGGCGGUUAUAUAAGACAGUUGUGAAAUCCCCGGGCUCAACCUGGGAAUUGCAUCUGUGACUGUAUAGCUAGAGUACGGUAGAGGGGGAUGGAAUUCCGCGUGUAGCAGUGAAAUGCGUAGAUAUGCGGAGGAACACCGAUGGCGAAGGCAAUCCCCUGGACCUGUACUGACGCUCAUGCACGAAAGCGUGGGGUGCAAACAGGAUUAGAUACCCUGGUAG
rnacentral:rRNA from 1 species